rnacentral:rRNA from 1 species
UACGUAGGUCCCGAGCGUUGUCCGGAUUUAUUGGGCGUAAAGCGAGCGCAGGUGGUUUAUUAAGUCUGGUGUAAAAGGCAGUGGCUCAACCAUUGUAUGCAUUGGAAACUGGUAGACUUGAGUGCAGGAGAGGAGAGUGGAAUUCCAUGUGUAGCGGUGAAAUGCGUAGAUAUAUGGAGGAUCACCGGUGGCGAAAGCGGCUCUCUGGCCUGUAACUGACACUGAGGCUCGAAAGCGUGGGGAGCAAACAGG